GUUUUGUCAAUAUCUACAGUUUAGAAUGCAGAAGGUCAUGUUUUUUCUCAGACUGUUAAUGACGUCUUUACACUAUAUAUUCAUGUGUACUAUUUUAGUCUCAUACUUUUUUUUUAAUUAUUUGUUAUUGGCUUUGAACUUGGUUUCAAUAACUGCUAUUAAUCUCAAUUCUGUACUUUGUAUCAUGUUUUUGUUAAUUUUGUUUUAGGCUUUGUAUUGAUCUGAUGCCCUUUAAUAAUUCAUAUAGUUCGUUAACAUUGUGUGGUACUGUUACACAACUGUCCUAGGUUAGAGUGAAGGUUUGGCACUCUCAAACAUAUUUAACUCUGCUAUAUUUUGUAAUUUCCUUUCCCCAGUCAGGAGCCUUUAAUUCAGUGGGUGUCAUUUGUUGCUGUACAUGAAAAAAAAUUUGAAAUGGGGAAUAUGUCAAAGGGAGAACAACCUGACCAAAGAGCAGAUAACAGGGGAAGGCCACCAAUGGGUCUUCAAUGAAGGGAGAAAAUACCAGACCCAGAGGUUGGCCUCAGCUGGUCCUUACUAAAAAUGUGUACUAGUUCACUGAAAAUGACCUCUUUUACUUCAUUUGGUUCCUGGUGGAGAUAUUGUC
rnacentral:lncRNA from 1 species